GGGGGGGGGGGGGGGGGGGGGGGGGGGGGGGGGGGGGGGGGGGGGGGGGGGGCGGGGGUGGGGUGGUCGAGGGGCGGACGGGUGGGUAACGCGUGAGUGACCUGCCCUUGACUUUGGGAUGGCUUCAGGAACCUGGGGCUACUACCGGAUAGGAGCUCCUGCUGCAUGGUGGGGGUUGGAAAGUUUCGGCGGUUGGGGAUGGACUCGCGGCGUAUCAGCUUGUUGGUGGGGUAGUGGCUUACCAAGGCUUUGACGGGUAGCCGGCCUGAGAGGGUGACCGGCCACAUUGGGACUGAGAUACGGCCCAGAAUCCUACGGGAGGCAGCAGUGGGGAAUAUUGCACAAUGGGCGGAAGCCUGAUGCAGCAACGCCGCGUGCGGGAUGACGGCCUUCGGGUUGUAAACCGCUUUCGCCUGUGACGAAGCGUGAGUGACGGUAAUGGGUAAAGAAGCACCGGCUAACUACGUG
rnacentral:rRNA from 1 species